AGAGUAUAGCUCAGUGGUAGAGUGCAUGCUUAGCAUGUGUGAGGUCCUGGGUUCAAUUCCCAGUACCUCUG
rnacentral:tRNA from 1 species